rnacentral:rRNA from 1 species
GAUGAACGCUAGCUACAGGCUCAACACAUGCAAGUCGAGGGACCGGCGCACGGGUGAGUCACACGUACCCAACCCUCCCUUUACUCGGGGAUAGCCUCUCGCAAGAAAGAUAAAUACCCUUUGAAAAGGCAGGGGAUGCGUUCCAUUAGGUUGUCGGUGAGGUAACGGCUCACCAAGCCUUUAAUGGAUAGGGGUUCUGUGAGGAAGGUCCCCCACCUUAGAAAUGAGAACCGGUCCAAACUCCUACGGGAGGCAGCAGUAAGGAAUGUUAGUAAAUGGGCGUUAGCCUGAACCAGCCAAGUAGCGAGAAGGAUGGAGGCUUAUGGGUCGUAAACUUCUUUUAUAUAAGUAUAUGUAUUAUAUGAAUAAGGAUCGGCUAACUCCGUGCCAGCAGCCGCGGUAAUAC